CCUACGGGAGGCAGCAGUGAGGAAUAUUGGUCAAUGGGCGAGAGCCUGAACCAGCCAAGUCGCGUGAGGGAGUACUGCCCUAUGGGUUGUAAACUGCUUUUGUCGGGGAGCAAAAGCCGGACGUGUGUGGCUGUGAGAGUUCCCGAAGAAAAAGCAUCGGGUAACUUCGUGCCAGCAGCCGCGGUUAUUAGGAGGAUGCGAGGGUUUUCCGGAUUUUUUGGGGUUAAAGGGUGCGCAGGCGCAUUUUUAAGUCAGCGGGUAACACGUUGGGCUUAACCCAGUCCAGCGGUUGAAACUGGGGUUCUAGAGUGUGCGAAAGGUAUGCGGAAUUCGUGGUGUAGCGGUGAAAUGCAUAGAUAUCACGCAGAACCCCGAUUGCGAAGGCAGCAUACGGGUGCACAACUGACGCUCAGGCACGAAGGCGUGGGUAUCGAACAGGAUUAGAUACCCGUGUAGUC
rnacentral:rRNA from 1 species